AGCUAGCUUGCCCGAGUGGUCUAAGGGGGACGACUUAAGAUCGUCUGUACAUCAGUACGCGUGGGUUCAAACCCCACAGCUAGCAU